CUUUCGCAUGAAAGAAGUUUUAAAAGGCGGCGUAAAGCUGUCGCUAAAAGGGAUGGACCUGCGAUGCAUUAGCUAGUUGGUAAGGUAACGGGCUUACCAAGGCGAUGAUGCAUAGCCCGAGUUGAGAGACUGAUCGGCCACAUUGGGGACUGAGACACGGGCCCAAACUCCUACGGGAGGCAGCAGUAGGGAAUCUUCCACAAUGGACGAAAGUCUGAUGGAGCAAACGCCGCGUGAGUGAAGAAGGUUUUCGGAUCGUAAAGCUCUGUUGUUGGUGAAGAAGGAUAGAGGUAGUAACUGGCCCUUUAUUUGACGGUAAUCAACCAGAAAGUCACGGGCUAACUACGUGCCAGCAGCCGCGGUAAAU
rnacentral:rRNA from 1 species